rnacentral:rRNA from 1 species
AUACGGAGGGUGCAAGCGUUGUCCGGAUUUAUUGGGUUUAAAGGGUGUGUAGGCGGUGUAUUAAGUCAGUGGUGAAAGCCUGCGGCUCAACCGUAGAACUGCCAUUGAUACUGACACACUUGAGUAUGGACGAGGUAGGCGGAAUUUAUGGUGUAGCGGUGAAAUGCAUAGAUACCAUAAAGAACACCGAUAGCGAAGGCAGCUUACUAGGCCAUAACUGACGCUGAGGCACGAAAGCGUGGGGAGCGAACAGGAUUAGAAACACGGGUAGUCC